rnacentral:rRNA from 1 species
AUGCCUGAAUACACCACCGACGACACUAUCAUGCAGAGAAGCCAUCUGUUUUGUCUGUGGUGCAAAAUUUUCCCCAAUGACCAAUCUUCCCUUGUACUGUUCAAUAAACCUAUGCUCCAAAGUAUAACCUUUGGCGUAAGGAGGGUGAAUUGCAAGCUACUGCAACAGUGCGGCCAUUUCUGUAUCAGUGUGAUACGAAUUCAGUACUUCCUGUAUCCAAUCUGGCCUGCAAACUGGAAUCGCUCGGUGUUUCAAAUUGAUGAGCUCUGCACGACAGAGAAUCUGCCACCCCAUUCUUGGUUUGUUGCUACUGCUUGUUGGACUGGUUGGUUGUUUUAUUUAUAA